rnacentral:tRNA from 1 species
GGAAUUAUAGUUUAAGGAAAACGCAUUGAGAUAUAGGUUCGAUUCCUAUUAGUUCCG